UUACAACUGCUUGUAAUCCCAACUCUAGGGGAGCCGAUGCCUCAUUUGGAACACAUGUGCACUUGGCAUGUCCACACACAACCCAUAUAUGUGUGCAUGACACACCCAUACAGACACAGACCCACAUACACACACAUAAUUAAAAUAAAACUUUUAAAAUUAACCUCUGAGCCCUCUCUCCAGCUGUCCCAUGUAAGUCUUAAGAGAAGAAUGAAUGAGAAGUGGCCAUCUUGCCUCCCCCAAAUGCCUGAAAUGCUGUGUGGUUUCCUUUCUGUGUCCAGGGAAGCCCCGGGGCCAUCGCUGGUCCCUGGGACUAGUUGCCUUAUUGAAGAGGCCAGAGGGUAUAGAUAGAGCUAGGAGAGUAGAGCAAUAAAACUGACUGUCUACUUCUUUCAGGUGCUGUGCCCUGUGAGACACCCUCCUUCAGGGACAGAAGCAACCAGCUUCCUGGGAGGAGUCAUGGCUUCCACAGACCAAAUCUAGUCACAGGAAAGGGGCUCAGGAGCAAGGUGGCUGAGCAGGAGGUCCAGACAAUCCAUGAAGAGAAUGUAGCAAGACUACAAGCCAUGGAUCCUGAGGAGAUCCUGAAGGAGCAGCAGCAGUUACUGGCUCAACUCGGUAUGGAUGUUAAGUCUUGCAGUUAGCUUGCUGGGGCCACACGAAGCAGGGGCUGCCACUUGUUGGGGAAGACGUGUGUGUGUUUGUGUGUGUGUGGCUAUUCUUCUACUCCUGGGAGAGAUAUGGUAUUAAGUUCAUUUUACGUUCAUUUUACUAAUGAAUGAAUGAAUGAAUGAACAAACAAACAAACAAACAGAGCAGGCUCUGCUACUUGGAGUGGUACAUGCCUUUAAUCCCAGCAUAUGGAACUACUUCCAAUCAGACCAGAGUUCGUGCUCAGCUACAUGGCUAGUUUGAGGCCAGUCUGGCUCUGAGACCCUUCCUCAAAAACAAAGCUUGAAGCUGAUGGCAUAGCUCAGUGGUUAACUAAGCAAGCCUUUGACCAUGUAAAGGUGGGAGAGAACUGACUGCACUAAGUUGUGCUCAGACCUGUACAUGUACACAUACUGUGCUCCAAUAGUAACUGAAAACAAAAAAAUCC
rnacentral:lncRNA from 1 species